UUAACGGAGAAUUCCACAUUAUAGAUGGAAUUACGAAAUCCUAAUCUCCAAACUGUACAGUAUAUAAUCAAAUAUCAGAAAUAAAUCCACAACUAACAUGAAAUUAACAGACAUAUUAACAAAAUCCGCAACUAGUUGAGAACCUGUUUACUUAUGAAUGGGUUAAUUUGGGUUGUCUUUUUUAAACGGGUCAAACAGGUUGAAAUAGUUUGCUUUCAAUGCAUACAACCCAUCCUCAAUUUCUAAACUUUUAAGUCAAAGAUUUAAAUUAUUAAUGCAAUAGUCUUGUUUUUGUGGUAGAUUUCCAUAAUUCAGAAUGUGAUUAGCAUAAUUGGGUUGACCCGUUUAGUAAAUGGUUUGAUCUAGAUUAUGCUUUAUUAGUA
rnacentral:lncRNA from 1 species